CAUCACACUUAGUUCUAGAAACUCCUGUUUAACAAAGUUUAAAUAUAAAUAUCCCCAUUACAUCCCAGGUGUCUUUAUUUUCUUCUGUGUUCUCUAUAUGUCUUUCAGCAGUCACUUUUUAGUAUCAAUGACUGUGACCCCCAAUUUGACCUCAGAGGAUUUUAUGUAUGUUACUCAGUCCUGCUCACUUCUAUCCAUGAGUUACUCCAGAACAAGCAUGUUUUCAACACCAGUAGCC
rnacentral:lncRNA from 1 species